rnacentral:lncRNA from 1 species
GAUAGUGUACGUACUCUGUAUCACGUAUAGGUUGCCCUCUGUAUCCUGCUGAGUAAGGUUGUAAGUCCUGCCCUAGAUAGGAGGUCUGGUCCGGUUCUGAUUCCUCGGGCACUCCCUCACGUAAUGUUGGGCAUUCUCACAUAUGCGGUAGGUAUUAUUGAUGUGAUAGCAGGGUCGGUACCCAUGAUCCUUACCACAAUGUUGGCAAGUCCUGCCCCGUCCUGUUGUUAAAAUCUAAGGAGGAGCCUGAGUCAUUGGCCUAGGUCUCUUAUUCUGCUGAUCUGCAGUGUGGA